CAGCCGCCACGGUAAUACGAAGGGGGCUAGCGUUGCUCGGAAUGACUGGGCGUAAAGGGCGCGUAGGCGGUUUGUACAGUCAGAUGUGAAAUUCCUGGGCUUAACCUGGGGGCUGCCUUUGAUACUGGCGACCUUGAGUCCGGGAGAGGUGAGUGGAACUGCGAGUGUAGAGGUGAAAUCCGUAGAUAUUCGCAAGAACACCGGUGGCGAAGGCGGCUCACUGGCCCGGUACUGACGCUGAGGCACGAAAGCGCGGGGAGCAAACAGGAUUAGAUACCCGGGUAGUCCCUGUCUCUUAUAU
rnacentral:rRNA from 1 species